AGGGAAACCGAGUCUUAACUGGGCGUUAAGUUGCAGGGUAUAGACCCGAAACCCGGUGAUCUAGCCAUGGGCAGGUUGAAGGUUGGGUAACACUAACUGGAGGACCGAACCGACUAAUGUUGAAAAAUUAGCGGAUGACUUGUGGCUGGGGGUGAAAGGCCAAUCAAACCGGGAGAUAGCUGGUUCUCCCCGAAAGCUAUUUAGGUAGCGCCUCGUGAACUCAUCUUCGGGGGUAGAGCACUGUUUCGGCUAGGGGGUCAUCCCGACUUACCAACCCGAUGCAAACUGCGAAUACCGAAGAAUGUUAUCACGGGAGACACACGGCGGGUGCUAACGUCCGUCGUGAAGAGGGAAACAACCCAGACCGCCAGCUAAGGUCCCAAAGUCACAGUUAAGUGGGAAACGAUGUGGGAAGGCUCAGACAGCCAGGAUGUUGGCUUAGAAGCAGCCAUCAUUUAAAGAAAGCGUAAUAGCUCACUGGUCGAGUCGGCCUGCGCGGAAGAUGUAACGGGGCUAAACUGUGCACCGAAGCUGCGGCAGCGACGCUUAUGCGUUGUUGGGUAGGGGAGCGUUCUGUAAGCCUGCGAAGGUGUCCUGUGAGGGAUGCUGGAGGUAUCAGAAGUGCGAAUGCUGACAUAAGUAACGAUAAUGCGGGUGAAAAG
rnacentral:rRNA from 1 species